rnacentral:pre_miRNA from 1 species
GAUUUCAACUGAAAAAGUCAUCAAUAACAAAGUUGUAUAAAUCAUCAAUAUCUAUAACUUUUAUUUUGGUCAUUUCUUCAUCCGACAAAGUAAUAGUAAUAUUAUUUACAAAAUUUACAUAUCUCUCUCAUAAUUUAUAAACAAUAUAAGAGAUAUGUACAUUUUGUGAACAAUGUUACAAUUUGCUUUGUCGGAUGAAAAAAUGACCCAAAUAAAAGUUAUAGAUCUUGAUGAGUUAUACCACUUUGUUAUUGAUGACUUUUUUAGUUGAAAUC